rnacentral:rRNA from 1 species
GAUGAACGCUGGCGGCGUGCUUAAUACAUGCAAGUCGAGCGAAGCACUUUAACGGAAUUCUCCGGAAGGAAGGUAAAGUGACUGAGCGGGCGACGGGUGAAGGUAACGCGUGGGUAACCUGCCUUAUACAGGGGGAUAACAGUUAGAAAUGGCUGCUAAUACCGCAUAAGCGCACAGGGCCGCAUGGCCCGGUGUGAAAAACUCCGGUGGUAUAAGAUGGACCCGCGUCUGAUUAGCUGGUUGGUGGGGGUAACGGCCCACCAAGGCGACGAUGCGUAGCCGGCCUGAGAGGGCGGACGGCCACACUGGGACUGAGACACGGCCCAG